rnacentral:lncRNA from 1 species
AUGUCAAAAGACAGGCUGUCUCUGACAGAAGAAUACAGUUCAUCAAAAGUGUCUGCAGGUUGUCAAACUCGUUGUAGAUGUUGGAACUCAAUUUAUCCAGAAACUGGGGAGGACCUGAACUGGCUCAAGCCGUUCUGAAAGAGAGAAGAAGCAGCACAACCAUCCUCUAACAAAAAUGCCUAGGCGGCAUUAGCCACAGCGGCUGACAACGCGGCUGAACGUAUGCGGACAAGCUGCUCUCCCCGAGCAGGCGGGCUC